AUAAGUUUUAAAAGAUGCUUUUCAAAAAGAUCGCGGUCUUGAUUUAUGCUUUAUAGCGAAGUCGGAAGAGAGGGCACAGGACUUGCCUAUCAUCAAGGUAAAAAAAAAAACAUUCAUAAUUGAGGCGGAUUUAAAUAUGCUUUUAUGUGCAUCUAGCUUAAUUAAGUAAUGUUUCAAAACCGACUGUUAAGACUGGACUAGAUUUUAUGCAAUUUGAUCACUGAAUGCGAGGGCCUGAAAUCUAGUCCAGUUCGAAUUGGAGGAUUUGAAGUGAAACUGCGUGUUAUUACCAGGGAUGGAUUUACUGGGGGGUGCGGGAGGUGUGGACCCCCCCUAGCCCUGGCCAGAGGGGGUGCAGGGGGUGCUAUUUUUCAUGAUAAAGCAAAAAAUUAUUAGAAACAAAAUGAGAUACAGUAAUUUGAGUAAUAACAUGAUGAUAAGCGAACUGUGAACAACAAUUACAAUUCAAAUACUGUAGUCAAGCAAGACUUUGCAGUAGCGAAGCAAGUUGAUGGGCGGGCGGCACACAUGACCGACACAACUCGGCACCAGAGCUGGCAGAGCACCCCCCCCCCCCCAGUCAUGCUGGAUCCAUCCCUGGUUAUUACUAUCCAAGAUGAUCCCAAGAGUGGAAUGGGUUUUUUUUCUGGGGAUUAAGUCUUCUCGGCCUCGUUCCUGUGAAUAGACAACUUUCAUAAUGCAGAAGGAUUUAAAUAGCCUUUUAUUUGCAUCUUAACUUGAAGUUGUUCUUAUUCUGGUUAUAAAAUUCUAUUCAAUUUCAGUAACAAAAACGAAACGAAUAAUUAAGGCUUAAAGUUUAUGAGAAGUUACAGUUUUCGAGGUCCAUGACAUAGUCCAUGACAACCAAAAAUCUAAUCUUAAUAUGAAUCAGUCUUACUAAUCAAAAUCCUUCUUGCCCAAUACCUUACUUAAUCCAAACCUAGGCUUACUUCGGCUACUGUAUCUCUCUUUCAAACAUCUAUUUGAAUCUUUAUUUUCAUCCUGAUUUGAACCUAGUCUCGGCUUGACCUAAUCUCAUACUGUAACUCCAAUCCUAAUCCAAUCUAAAUCUAAUCCAAGGUUAACACUACGUAUAAAAGAGCUUUGCAUCGCUCUUGAUAUAUGUACGUACGGCGUUUUCAACCAUCUCACACAAUUUGGCUUAUAUACUUACCAAGACCACGGAAAAAAGACUCGGAACGAAGUUAGUAAUCAUGAAGGCCUCAUCCGUAAUCCAAAUUAGGAUCGUGAUCUAAAAACUGAUCAUCAAAAUAAUGAUCAUUAUCAUUAAUGAUCCUGAUCAUUAUCAUUAGGAUCGUAAUUUAAAACAUGAUCAUUAUUAAAAUCUAGCUGAAGCCUAGUCCGUUCAUAUCUCAUUCAGGACCCAGUCCUUAUCUAAAUUCUGAAAUAUCAAUCAUGUUUCUCUUCAUAAUCCAAAUCUUUAUCCCUCAUCUUAUAUAUAUAUUUACUCUUCUUUGGCAGAAACUUGGGAACGAGGUUGCCAUAUAUAUUUCAUCCACAAGAAACCAACAGGUUUGUGGUUAUGUCAUUGAUCUCAAAAAUUGUACUACUGUACUCUUCAUCCGCUAUGCAUAAACGAAGUCAAUGGUG